rnacentral:Y_RNA from 1 species
AGUUGGUCCGAAGGGUGUGGGUUAUUGUUAAGCUGAUUAACAUUGUCUCCCCCCCACACCCGAUCUUGACUGGCUUUGU